UACUGUUUAAUAAGUUUAAUUUGCUUUUUUUCAGAUGGUUCACAGAACCAGUACACUCAAGGUUUGAUUAGAUAUUGCAACAUUAAAAUUUCCCAGUACUGACCAGUAUUCUAGUUCAUCAGAUACAUUCUUAUUGUUUUCCUCAAAUAGAGGGGAAUGGAGUGACCUUUUAUUGACAGUGAUUAGCAGUAGUAAGGCUACUGUACUAUAAUUGGCAAUCCCCAAGAAUUUUUUCCUCUCUAUCAUUCAGUGUCAUAGGGAGAGGGGUUUUGAGGCUGCUGUCCCUGGAAGGAUGGUACAUCCACACCAGAGUCUUGAAACAUGAUGACUAUGGUAAACCACAAGGCAAUGACCCAGCUUUUACAGUCCUCAAAUACCCAGAUGUCAUCCUGCAAGUUUGUGCAGCAAUGCUGCUUCUGUAGUUUUGUGAUAUUAUAACUGACUCUAGAAGUUUAUCCACGUAUUAAAUAAGGGAGAGAAAAACCAAACCCUUACUUUAAAGUUUUGGAAUGGAAAGUUCCCGUAUCACUAUGUUCAAACUAGCUUCUUUCCACUACCCCUUGAACUAGCCUGAGGGGAAACUAAUGUAAAAGGACCAAAUGGAAGCAUUUAAGUUAUGGGGUGAGGGGUGGUUUACUGCUUGUACACUCCAGACGCAGAACCAUUCCUUCCAGAACCAUGACAAAGGUUGAGGCCCAUGGCAAAAUGAGGGUCAGGCUAAAUAUAAAGCAAAAAGCAGCCAUCAUGAGAACAGAACCCAUUCAUCUUAAGUCUAAUAAAUGAGGUUAAUAACUCCAGUGGGUUGAAAACAGAAUUUGAGAUUGAAAACCACCCCUGCAGCUCAGCUAAGGGAGAUUUCACCAGUCCAUGUGCGCUGACACGCAUCUUCGGUGCAUCCAUGUAAACAGGAAAUCUGGACAAUCAGAUGAUACGUACUUGUAAAUGCUUCACAGCCGAAGUAGUGAUGUGCGGUGCCCGAAGUUUUUGAGGGAUAGUGGUGCUAUCACACCAGACAUUUUCUUGAGGUAUUGUUAUUUCUUGUUCACAGAGUCUUAGAGCUCCAAGGCAGGAAUCGGAAGCAGUCCAAAGGAGAUGACACUAUUUUUUUCCCUCCAUCUUUCUCCUUUAUAUUUAUCCUAGGGACUACCAACCAGGUGACAUUUCAUUAUGAAAAAGUCUUCCUUUCCCCAAUGACCAGGAGUAUGAAGUUAUACAAGAUGAUUUUUACUAAAAUUCCAUGGGACAAUGACUCCUACCACAUUUCCUGACAAAGGACUUCAAGACACAAUGGCCAAAGCUGUCACAUAAGGGAACUCAAAUUCUAGGGCUCUAUUCAUCCCAUGGACAAGCGUUCCAGAGGACCCAGAAAUCUGACAGAGCUCUGGUCAAUGGUCACUAACGGGCUGGCCUGAGUGCCAGCCAGGUUUGUUUCUGCUGCCCCACACCAAGCACAGGCUUAAAGCGAAGGUAUACCAAGGAACCCUUUGCACGGAGGGGUGUGAUGGGUAGGAGAGGAGGGGAAGGGAGAGAACCAGAAUGUGAUUUUAGAGGUUCCCGUUGUGGCUCAGCAGUAACGAACCCAACUAGUAUCCGUGAGGAUGUGGGUUUGUUCCCUGGCCUCACUCAAUGGGUUAAGGGUCCAGUGUUGCUGUGAGCGGUUGUAUAGGUCGCAGACGUGGCUUGGAUCUGGCGUUACUGUGGCUGUGGUGCAGGCCCACAGCUGCAGCUCUGAUUCGACCCUUAGCCUGGGAACUUCCUCAUGUCUUGCAUGUGGCCCUAAAGAGACAAAAAAAAAAAAAAAAAAAAAAAAAAAAAAA
ensembl:lncRNA